rnacentral:rRNA from 1 species
GAGCUCAAAUUUGAAAGCUGGCUCCUUCGGGGUCCGCAUUGUAAUUUGCAGAGGAUGCUUCGGGAGCGGUCCCCAUCUAAGUUCCCUGGAACGGGACGUCAUAGAGGGUGAAAAUCCCGUAUGGGAUGGGGUGUCCGCGCCCGUGUGAAGCUCCUUCGACGAGUCGAGUUGUUUGGGAAUGCAGCUCUAAAUGGGUGGUAAAUUUCAUCUAAAGCUAAAUAUUGGCCGGAGACCGAUAGCGCACAAGUAGAGUGAUCGAAAGAUGAAAAGCACUUUGAAAAGAGAGUUAAAAAGCACGUGAAAUUGUUGAAAGGGAAGCGCUUGCGACCAGACUCGCUCGCGGGGUUCAGCCGGCAUUCGUGCCGGUGUACUUCCCCGCGGGCGGGCCAACGUCGGUUUGGGCGGUCGGUCAAAGGCCCUCGGAAGGUAACGCCCCCCGGGGUGUCUUAUAGCCGAGGGUGCAAUGCGACCUGCCUAGACCGAGGAACGCGCUUCGGCUCGGACGUUGGCAUAAUGGUCGUAAGCGACCCGUCUUGAAACACGGACCAAGGAGUCUAACAUCUACGCGAGUGUUCGGGUGUCAAACCCGUGCGCGCAGUGAAAGCGAACGGAGGUGGGAACCCUUUGGGUGCACCAUCGACCGAUCCUGAUGUCUUCGGAUGGAUUUGAGUAAGAGCGUAGCUGUUGGGACCCGAAAGAUGGUGAACUAUGCCUGAAUA